AACAGAUCAUGAAUUUGUAUUACUAGUAUUUGUAUUGACGAGUUUUUAUGACAGACAAAGUUAUUGUUGAUAUCAGUGAAGGUUGGAACUCUUGCGGAUUAAAUUUCUGUAAAUACCUAUAUUUGCAUAUCAUCUGCAGUACGACCUUUUGGAGUUCUAAAAAACCAUUAACUUAACUGAAUUAUGAAACGUUAGUAAAGUAUUAUGGCGAGCGUAAGUUCGGCUAGACGGAGACAUUCAGCGCCUGUUGUACCAUUACCUACUGGAACAACACGUCGAAGUUCGGGACCCCCAAGAUUACAACUGAAGAAAAAAGUAACAUUAGUUAACAAGUUUGAUACAGUCUUGUUCGGGAGGGAUGUUGAAGUGAAAAGAGGAUGCAUUUUACAUGAUGACAAACUAAUACUUUGUGGUGUUGACAAUUAUGUGUACAUUUGUAAUCCGGAUGGUAAACGGUCUAAUAGAAUUUCAGUCCAGUUUACUCCGUCAGAUAUUGCUCUCUUCGAUGAGAAACGCGCCGUAGUAUCAGGUGAAAAAGGGUACCAGAUUAUUGACAUUGAAACACUGAAAGCGGGACCUCUUUUUAAACCAGGUGGAAUUUGUACAGCCGUUGCUUGUACUAAGGACAAUAUUGUUGUUGCUAACGACUACUGCAAGCUCACUUACUUAACAAUAACUGGAGAAACAGUUAAAAGUUUCAACACAACACACAGUCCAUUAACAAUGACGGGUAGUCAAGACGGGUUCAUAUACUGGACUACUUGGGACAAUGAUGAAGUACAUUAUAUAGAUCCGACGGGAACAGAGAGAUUUUUUUUCGCUAGUCCCGAUUUACAAGAUCCUGUGGGAGUGUCAGUUGACAAAAAAGGAGAUGUGUUCGUUAUUGGACACAAAUCGAAUAACGUUCAUAAAAUUACACACGAAGGAAAUACAGACAAGAUUGUGUUGAAAGAAAGCAAUGGAUUAAAGAUGCCAUCUGGCAUGGCAAUAAGUCCAAAGAAAUCUGAACUGAUGAUAAUCAAUGAUAAGAAAUCCAUAAGCAUCUUUAAAAUACAGUAAUUUUUCGCUUUUAUAUACAGAUGCAUAUAUCAAACUCAUACAAUAGCAGACGUAAAUUAAAAAGAGGGAUUACAUUAUUUUAUUAUCAGUACAUAUUCGACAUAUCAAUCAUCAUGCAGUUAUUUCAAUUAGUGUCAUAAUAAAUGUUCACAUCUUUUGAUCAAAGACCAUGUUACUA